rnacentral:rRNA from 1 species
GAUGAACGCUGGCGGCGUGCCUAAUACAUGCAAGUCGAGCGAACAGAUGAGGAGCUUGCUCCUCUGACGUUAGCGGCGGACGGGUGAGUAACACGUCGAUAACCUACCUAUAAGACUGGGAUAACUUCGGGAAACCGGAGCUAAUACCGGAUAAUAUAUUGAACCGCAUGGUUCAAUAGUGAAAGACGGUUUUGCUGUCACUUAUAGAUGGAUCCGCGCCGCAUUAGCUAGUUGGUAAGGUAACGGCUUACCAAGGCAACGAUGCGUAGCCGACCUGAGAGGGUGAUCGGCCACACUGGAACUGAGACACGGUCCAGACUCCUACGGGAGGCAGCAGUAGGGAAUCUUCCGCAAUGGGCGAAAGCCUGACGGAGCAACGCCGCGUGAGUGAUGAAGGUCUUCGGAUCGUAAAACUCUGUUAUUAGGGAAGAACAAAUGUGUAAGUAACUAUGCACGUCUUGACGGUACCUAAUCAGAAAGCCACGGCUAACUACGUG